GUCCUCACUUCAGCAGACAUAUACUAAAACUGGAGUGGUACAGAGAAGAGUAGCAUACCCUUUAAGCAAGAAUGGCAUGCAUAUUUGUGAGGCGUUCCAUUAAAAA
rnacentral:snRNA from 1 species